AUCGAAUGCGGUUUCGAGUAAUUGCUUCAACUUGGUAAAUUACAAACGUGUGAGUGAGUGAAUGUCUCUCGAAGUCAUUGGUGAGUAUUACAGAAGGAAGGAGGGGAAGAGGGAGAUCGAGACAUAGUUACAUCAGGCAGAUCAAGGAAGGAGUUGGUGUCGUGUCGUAUCAAGAGGUGAAGAGACUCGAUGAAAAUCGUAGUGAGUGGCAAGAGCUCCACCGACAAGAGCGCAGCUCUUAAAUGGAUAGAUAGAUAGAUAUACAGUAUUGUGGAGAAUGAAUAAAUAUUUUUGAAUUUGAA